rnacentral:rRNA from 1 species
UACGUAGGGAGCAAGCGUUGUCCGGAAUCAUUGGGCGUAAAGCGCGCGUAGGUGGUCCCGUAAGUCCGCUGUGAAAGUCAAAGGCUCAACCUUUGAAAGCCGGUGGAUACUGUGGGACUAGAGUACGGAAGAGGCGAGUGGAAUUCCUGGUGUAGCGGUGAAAUGCGCAGAUAUCAGGAAGAACACCCGUGGCGAAGGCGGCUCACUGGACCGGAACUGACGCUGAGGCGCGAAAGCGUGGGGAGCAAACAGG